UAGGGAAUAUUAGUAAUGGGCGAAAGCCUGAACUAGCAACACCGCGUGUGCGAAGAAGGCCUUCGGGUUGUAAAGCACUUUUUGAGAGGAUGAGGAAGGACGGUACUCUCAGAAUAAGUCUCGGCUAACUACGUGCCAGCAGCCGCGGUAACAUGUAGGAGGCAACAGUUAUCCGGAUUUACUGGGCGUAAAGCGCGUGUAGGUGGUUUGGUAAGUAGAGCGUGAAAGCCCCUGGCGCAACUGGGAGAGGUCGUUCGAAACUGCCGGACUAGAGGAUGGUAGAGGGAGGUGGAAGUCCGGGUGGAGCGGUGGAAUGCGCAGAUAUCCGGAGGAACACCAGUGGCGAAAGCGGCCUCCUGGACCACUCCUGACACUCAGACGCGAAAGCUAGGGUAGCAAACG
rnacentral:rRNA from 1 species